rnacentral:rRNA from 1 species
AACCAGACUCCUACGGGAGGCAGCAGUGGGGAAUAUUGCACAAUGGGGGAAACCCUGAUGCAGCGACGCCGCGUGAGCGAAGAAGUACCUCGGUAUGUAAAGCUCUAUCAGCAGGGAAGAAGAUGACGGUACCUGACCAAGAAGCCCCGGCUAACUACGUGCCAGCAGCUGCGGUAAUACGUAGGGGGCAAGCGUUAUCCGGAUUUACUGGGUGUAAGGGGAGCGUAGACGGCAUGGCAAGUCAGAUGUGAAAGCCCGGGGCUCAACCCCGGGACUGCAUUUGAAACUGUCAGGCUGGAGUGCAGGAGAGGUAAGUGGAAUUCCUAGUGUAGCGGUGAAAUGCGUAGAUAUAACUUAGAACUCCGAUAGCGAAGGCAGCUUACCAGACUGCGACUGACGCUGAAGCACGAGAGCGUGGGUAGCGAACAGGAUUAGAUACCCCAGUA